AUUGAACGCUGGCGGCAGGCCUAACACAUGCAAGUCGAGCGGAGCGGGGACGGGUGAGUAACACGUGGGUAACCUCACAUCAGAGGGGAUAACACUUGGAAACAGGUGCUAAACCGAUAUUGAUGGAUGGACCCGCGGUGCAUUUGGUAGUUGGUGGGGUAACGGCUCACCAAGGCCACGGAGCAUAGCCGACCUGAGAGGGUGAUCGGCCAAACUGGAACUGAGAAACGGCCCAGACUCCUACGGGAGGCAGCAGUGGGGAAUCUUGGGAAAGGGGCGAAAGUCUGACCAAGAAACGCCGCGUGAGGGAAGAAGGUUUUCGGUUCGUAAAACUCUGUUGUUAGGGAGGCGGUAUCUAACCAGAAAGCCACGGCUAACUACGUGCCAGCAGCCGCGGUAAUUC
rnacentral:rRNA from 1 species